CUUUAAAAAGAGGAGCAGCCCCAGUUUGCCCUGUUCCAACAUCAUGAAUACACACAAAAGCUUUCCACUUUGAAUGUGUGGAGAGGGCUGGAGAUAGAGGGAGAAAUGGAGUCGAGGACGAGGGGAUGAACCAAGGGCCCAAAUGGCGACCAUUGAUGGGUGAAGGCCACAAGGAUUUGUGAUGAGAUGAGGAAUCCAGGAAAUGAGCUUGGUUUGUGAAAAGCGCACACGCAGCUGAAAUUGAUCGUCAACCAUCUCCUGCUCACAACAGUGUGGGCAGAGGGAGAGCAAGGUCACAGCCAAGGACUUGCCACAAUCAGUGAUGGGCUGCCGAGGGGGGGCUUAUGUGUCACGCCACAGCUGCUACGCUACGUACUCUGAGUCACAAGCACAUAUUUACUGCUGCAAAACAUCACCUUAAUUACCUUAAUGCCAGACUGUCUCUUCCCGUCUGGAUGAAUUCUGCUCUGGAUGCCUUAAUCUGAGCCUAAUCUCCAUCAUCCUCACAUACUGUUUUGGGAGUAAAAUCAUAGCUUUGCCUUUCUUAUCUGUUUUUAUUUCCUGUCAGGUUUAAGUGUUUUAUGGUUCAGCAGUUCAGAGGAAGGAAGGUUUGUCUGGUGAUAGUCAACAUGGCUGGGUGGGCGGCUGUUGCGCUGUGUGCUUGUCAUGCUGAACCAAGCCCGAAGCAGGUGAAGGGAUGAUUUCAUGUCUGUGCUAUCUAGAAGGACCGUCUCAGCUGCCAAUGCAAAGAUAAGCAAGGAGGAGGCAGCUGCUGCUGCUGGGCAGCUGUUUGACUGUUUCUAAAGCAGGAGUUGCAGGCAGCUCAACAGGCUGCUUGUGCAUCAUUCCAGCCUGACAAACAAGUUGAGCAAAAAUCUUAAGCAAGUGCAUUGUUUUCCAUCUAUAGAAGCCAUAUAGUGUCUGUGCUAGGUGCACAUAUUUACUUAGUAAAAAGUUUUUUUUGUAUUGUGUAGGAAUAACAGUUAAACACAGUGCUGGGCACUAUACUGGAUGAACCAGAAUACCAGUUUUAAUUUCCCACAUAAUAUGGAUUUCUCAUAUACCGCUACCAGUGGACACAAUUGCUGUUCAAUAGCAAGUCAUAUUGUUUUUGCUGGUUGGUUAAGUCAGUUUAUAGUGUUUAUACAUGAAAUUCAUGAUAUUUUGUUUUGAAAGGGAAGCAAUGUUAAAGUU